rnacentral:lncRNA from 1 species
GAGCAAUCAGGCCUGGGAGGGAAAACCUGCAGCAGCUCCGCGGUGGCGUGCAGGCUGUCCCGGUCCUCCUGCAAGUGCUGCGGGCAGAGGGAAGCAGCCCCUCUGUAGGGCCUCCAUGCUGCCUUAGGUACCACCUUCUCUCCCGGAGGCUGUGCUCUACAUGCUCUUCCAAGGGCCACGCUUGCCUCCCAACCUGAUCCCCAAGUCUGCACACAGAUACAUUCCUGCACCCUCACCUGCAUGGUUUCCAGAAGCUUCUGUCGCUCCAGUUCCCAUGUCUGGCUGUGGACCUCAGAAGGGACUUGUUCCCCAACAUAUUUUCUUAGAUUCUCAACCAGGGUCACCUGAGCCUCCAAGUCUUCCUGGGUCUUGCUAGGGUUGGGGUGGGAAUGGGACAGCCAUCAGUGGGGCGCCCUGCAGAUCCACCACAUCACUAAUUGCUGGGCUCCCGUCGGCAUCCGCCCACCUACCUCAGCUGCUUCCGAAGCAGCUCGGCCUCCCUCUGAGCCUCGGCCAGCU